rnacentral:rRNA from 1 species
AUGAGGACUCGCACACUGCAAAGAACUGUACAUUAUUUCUGGCAAUGCCUCUCCAUUUCGUGGCAAAUGUGUCUGACAGCCAGUACUGUGAACUCAACGAGUCACCGUAGCUCAUAUGGACCUUUUGCCAAUAAGAUUAUAGGGUGGAUGCAUGCUUUGAUUUCCAGUGAACCUGCUCUUCAAAGUCUCCAUAGCAGCUUGCUGUCUUGUUUUCAAUCACUUCAUUUCAUCUGGUUGGACAGGGCUGCCCUUGAGAAGAAACGUACCAGAUCGGAUGGCCUUGACAAGCUUAUGAUGUCGCAGACGUAG